rnacentral:rRNA from 1 species
GAUCAUGGCUCAGGACGAACGCUGGCGGCGUGCCUAACACAUGCAAGUCGAACGGAAGUUAGAGCUUCGGUUUUAACUUUAGUGGCGAACGGGUGAGUAACGCGUGAGGAACCUGCCCUUCAGUGGGGGACAACAGUUGGAAACGACUGCUAAUACCGCAUGACACUUUUGAGGGACAUCCCUUAAAAGUCAAAGCUUUAUGUGCUGAAAGAUGGCCUCGCGUCUGAUUAGCUAGUUGGUGAGGUAACGG